GAUGAACGCUGGCGGCGUGCCUAAUACAUGCAAGUCGAGCGAACAGACGAGGAGCUUGCUCCUCUGACGUUAGCGGCGGACGGGUGAGUAACACGUGGAUAACCUACCUAUAAGACUGGGAUAACUUCGGGAAACCGGAGCUAAUACCGGAUAAUAUAUUGAACCGCAUGGUUCAAUAGUGAAAGACGGUUUUGCUGUCACUUAUAGAUGGAUCCGCGCCGCAUUAGCUAGUUGGUAAGGUAACGGCUUACCAAGGCGACGAUGCGUAGCCGACCUGAGAGGGUGAUCGGCCAAACUGGAACUGAGACACGGUCCAGACUCCUACGGGAGGCAGCAGUAGGGAAUCUUCCGCAAUGGGCGAAAGCCUGACGGAGCAACGCCGCGUGAGUGAUGAAGGUCUUCGGAUCGUAAAACUCUGUUAUUGGGGAAGAACAAAUGUGUAAGUAACUAUGCACGUCUUGACGGUACCUAAUCAGAAAGCCACGGCUAACUACGUG
rnacentral:rRNA from 1 species